UACGUAGGGGCCUAGCGUUGUCCGGAUUUAUUGGGCGUAAAGAGCUCGUAGGCGGUUCGGCAAGUCGGAUGUGAAAUCUCCACGCUCAACGUGGAGGGGCCAUUCGAAACUGCCGUGACUCGAGUCCGGUAGGGGAGUGUGGAAUUCCCGGUGUAGCGGUGAAAUGCGCAGAUAUCAGGAGGAACACCGGUGGCGAAGGCGGGACUCUGGGCCGGUACUGACGCUGAGGCGCGAAAGCUAGGGUAGCAAACAGG
rnacentral:rRNA from 1 species